CAGACGACAAAGGAAAAGUUUGUCAGCAUUACACUUCAUCUUUCAUUUGUGCGCCCUUCAAGGUGGAUUUCACUGGAUCAAGUUAAAGUUAUGGCUGACGCAGUUCUGCAGUCUGGGAAAGGUGGUUCCUGUCCACAGUUAAGGAUUGUUUUAAUCGGGGGAAGAAGAAGAAACAAAGAAAGUAAAAGUUCUACUGGAAACUUGAUACUCGGUGAAAAUGUUUUUGACACCAGCAGUAGAACUGCUCAAAGUACAGCGAGACAGAGAGAGGUUCACGGCAGACUAGUGACUGUGGUUGAUACUCCAGGAUGGUGGUGGAAACUUCCAAGAAAAAACACUCCAGAACUGGACCAGAUAGAAAUCCAGAACAGUGUCCAUCUUUGUCCUUCAGGCCCUCACGCCUUUCUUCUGGUCAUUCCUGUUGAGAUGAUUUUUCCUCUGAUUGUCAAAUCAUCUCUGAAAGAACACUUGGAACUUUUUAAUGCAGAUGUGCUCAAACACACAAUUGUGGUGUUCAUUUCAUUUUCCUCAUACAAAGAGGAAAACAUUCAACGUUUGAUCAAAGUAAACCCAACAGUUCAGCAGAUUCUUCAACUAUGUGGAAACAGAAAACAUUUUCUUCAUAUCAGUGACAGCGCUGACAGAACCCAAGUCUUGGAGCUGUUCGGGAAAAUUGAAGAACUGGUUACAAACAACCUCAACAAUCCUUACUCAGUGGAUGAAACUCAAGGAAUCAUUUUGACACAAAAACUUCAAGGUUUUGUAGAAAAUGCAUCAAGAAGACGCAACGAAGUGCAGAAAAAAAGACAGAAACUCAGAGCUCUGAUUGAAGGUAUGUUACAAACUUCUUCAUUUUAAAAAAGCUACAGACCCUUUUCACGGAGACGUCGGGUAAAAUGGCAACAUGG